rnacentral:rRNA from 4 species
GUUUGACCUCGGAUCA